rnacentral:lncRNA from 1 species
CCAAGGUGGAUUUCCCCCUUUCCUGUGCUGGGCCAAAGCAUCCAAGUGACCUUUGAUUUUUUUUCUUUUUCUCUCUCCUUUUUUUUUUCCCUUUGGCCUUUUUUUGUUUUGUUUUGUUUUGUUUCUGACUCGCCAUAUGUGAGAUAAUUGUGCCCACAGGAAUUCCUUUCAGAGUGCCUAAGCACAAAAGAAAAACACCCGGCCAACUCUUUUUUCUAGGGCAGUACAAACAUUUCCUUAAACCUAAGUGUCUCGGGAGGGGCAUUGACAGAAGGCGCCUUUCACCCAGAAAGCCCGCCCUGCGCCGAGCUGCUGCUGAACCCUCAGCUGCCUCCUGCAUUUUGACGUCACUGCUGGAGUGAAAGUUUUGCCAACAAAAGCAGUCAUGUUCUUUGAUUCCAGCUUUAUGACAAUGGAAAGGAGGCCAGCGCCAAUCGCUCCACGUGGCCAGAGUGGCUUCAGGAAGGAGCAAAAUCACAGUAAGGAGCAAGAGAGCCCAGAGCUUGUCUGGCAGCUUUAGAACAUGUUUUAGGUGUGGUAUUUUCAUCUCUCUUUUUACAAAGAGAGAAGGAAAGAAAGAAGAAAAGAUGGGAAGAAGGAAGAAUGGAAAGAAGGAGGGAAAGAAGGAAAUAAGGUAACUAAAUAUACAAGAAAGGCCAUAGAAAACCAAAAUAUAUUUUGUAAAUUGACAUUUGUGGGGUGGGGG